GCUGAAUCGGGAGGCGCUGAAGUCCGCUUUGCCUCGCAACACCACAACUCUGCAUACGGUCACCUGAAGCGGAUGGAGCCACUGGUGAGACCGACCCGAGAAGGA
rfam:Deinococcus peraridilitoris DSM 19664, complete genome.